UCAAACAACGGCAUAAAUCACGAUAAAAUUGGAAUGAUACAGAUAAGAUUAGUAUGGCCCCUGCGCAAGGAUGACACGCACAAAUUGAGAAGGGAAAGAAGACUAG
rnacentral:snRNA from 1 species